rnacentral:rRNA from 1 species
AGAGUUUGAUCCUGGCUCAGGACGAACGCUGGCGGCAUGCCUAACACAUGCAAGUCGAACGGAGAAAGUUCAACACCAAGUAUUUCAUCCGCUGAAGUGUAGCGGUAAAAAUUGCGAAGCAAUUUUUACUACGCAUUAAAAGCAUGAACUAACACGGUGGUUGAAGUAUUAGGUGUUGAACUUUCUUAGUGGCGAACGGGUGAGUAACGCGUGGGCAACCUGCCCUCUAGAUGGGGACAACAUCCCGAAAGGGGUGCUAAUACCGAAUGUGACAGCAAUCUCGCAUGAGGAUGCUGUGAAAGAUGGCCUCUAUUUAUAAGCUAUCGCUAGAGGAUGGGCCUGCGUCUGAUUAGCUAGUUGGUGGGGUAACGGCCUACCAAGGCGAUGAUCAGUAGCCGGUCUGAGAGGAUGAACGGCCACAUUGGGACUGAGACACGGCCCAGACUCCUACGGGAGGCAGCAGUGGGGAAUCUUCCGCAAUGGGCGAAAGCCUGACGGAGCAAUGCCGCGUGAGUGAUGAAGGAAUUCGUUCCGUAAAGCUCUUUUGUUUAUGACGAAUGUGCAGAUUGUGAAUAAUGAUCUGUAAUGACGGUAGUAAACGAAUAAGCCACGGCUAACUACGUGCCAGCAGCCGCGGUAAUACGUAGGUGGCGAGCGUUGUCCGGAAUUAUUGGGCGUAAAGAGCAUGUAGGCGGUUUUUUAAGUCUGGAGUGAAAAUGCGGGGCUCAACCCCGUAUGGCUCUGGAUACUGGAAGACUUGAGUGCAGGAGAGGAAAGGGGAAUUCCCAGUGUAGCGGUGAAAUGCGUAGAUAUUGGGAGGAACACCAGUGGCGAAGGCGCCUUUCUGGACUGUGUCUGACGCUGAGAUGCGAAAGCCAGGGUAGCGAACGGGAUUAGAUACCCCGGUAGUCCUGGCCGUAAACGAUGGGUACUAGGUGUAGGAGGUAUCGACCCCUUCUGUGCCGGAGUUAACGCAAUAAGUACCCCGCCUGGGGAGUACGUCCGCAAGGAUGAAAC